rnacentral:rRNA from 1 species
UACGGAGGGUGCAAGCGUUGUUCGGAAUUACUGGGCGUAAAGCGCGUGUAGGCGGCCGAUUAAGUCUGGUGUGAAAGCCCGGGGCUCACCCCCGGAAGUGCGCUGGAAACUGGUCGGCUAGAGUAUGGGAGAGGAAAGUGGAAUUCCCAGUGUAGCGGUGAAAUGCGUAGAGAUCGGGAGGAACACCCGUGGCGAAGGCGGCCAUCUGGACCAGCACUGACGCUGAGGCACGAAAGCGUGGGGAGCAAACAGG